UACGAAGGGGGCUAGCGUUGUUCGGAAUCACUGGGCGUAAAGGGCGCGUAGGCGGCUUUAUAAGUCGGGGGUGAAAGCCUGUGGCUCAACCACAGAAUUGCCUUCGAUACUGUAGAGCUUGAGACCGGAAGAGGUAAGUGGAACUGCGAGUGUAGAGGUGAAAUUCGUAGAUAUUCGGCGGAACACCAGUGGCGAAGGCGACUCACUGGCCCGAUACUGACGCUGAGGCGGCGAAAAGCGUGGGGAGCCAAACAGGG
rnacentral:rRNA from 1 species